GGCAGGGGCCUGGCGUGCUGGUUCAGUCCUGUGCGCACUCGGAAUGGGGCCGGGAACGGCUGAGCCUCAGGGCGAUCCUGAUGUGGGGCCCUGCGACCGCUCACUGCGGGUGAAGAGACCCAGGCGCAGACAGCGCAGGCGUGAGGCUGUGUGACUCGCGAGAUGGACCGGGUUAAAUGCAGAGGCAGAUAUGAAAAUCCAGCCAUCUUAAGCCAGACAUUAAAGAUAUUUGCAAAGUGGCCAA